UAGAUUUUGUUGAAAUGUCUUUUAUAUAUAGCGACAGUAGAUAUGACAAUUGUCAUCGGGCCAUAAUCAAUCAUAUAUAGGUAUUUCCAAAUUUGAAUGAUGUGGAUGUUAUGGGUCAUGUACAAACAAUGGCAGAAAAAUAUCUUUUCUACGUGGAAGAAAACGUCGCUCAUUCUAUGCUUAAAUGAUUGCCAGAAUUAUAAUGUUCUGUGCUUAAACUUGAAGUACAUAUUAUCGAUACUCACUAGAGCAUCGGAAAAUGUCUUCUGUGUUCGGGUUGGGAGAGAUAACAACGUCCGAUGAAUAUCUUCAUGAAAUCGCUGGUUUUAUAAGAGUACACAAAGAUGGCCGCUGUGAAAGAUUCCUGGGAAAUGAGAAGUUACCAGCCGGAAUCGAUUCGUCAACCGGAGUUCUAUCCAACGACGUCAUCAUCUCAUCCGAAACAAACCUGUCUGCAAGAAUUUACAUUCCCAAAACCGCCACCUCAGAUCGGAAACUUCCUGUUCUGAUCUACUUUCACGGCGGUGGUUUCGUAGUCGAGUCCCCCACGAGUCCUAACUACCACCCUACACUCAACCAUCUUACAGCGGAGUCAAACGUGAUCGCGGUUUCCGUUGACUACCGGCUGGCGCCAGAGUAUCCGCUUCCAGUCGGGUACAAUGACUGUUGGGAAGCGGCCCAGUGGGUUGCUUCCCAUGGGUCAGGACAUGGUCCUGACCCAUGGUUAAAUAAAUUUGCGGAUUUUAGUAAGGUGUUUUUCGCGGGGGAUAGCGCUGGGGCGAAUAUCGCCCACAACUUGGCAAUCCGGUUCGGGUCAGACCGGAUUGCUGGAAUAAACCUAGAGGGUAUUAUUCUUAUCCACCCGUAUUUCGGAGGAAGUGACCCGAUUGGAUCGGAACUUGGGAAAAAUAAGCAGUUGAAAGCGUUUACGGAUCAGUUCUGGAAAGUGGCGAAUCCGUCAGGGAGUGGGCUGGAUGACCCAAUGUUUAACCCGGAAAAGGACCCGAAUCUUUCGGGUUUGGGGUGCUCCAAGAUCCUUGUAGCUGUUGCGGAGAAAGAUUGUUUGAGAGACAGGGGUUUGCAUUACAUAGAAUUGAUGGAGAAAAGUGGAUGGGCUGGAAAAGUGGAGAUGUUGGAGUCGAAAGAUAAGGAUCAUGUCUUCUUUUGGUUCGAUCAUGUUUCCGAAAAUGCUUGUACCUUUUUCGAUACAAUCUCUACCUUUAUCAACCACAAUAGUUGAUUAUGGAUGACCAGCCUCAUGUUUGAUCCAAGUCUUUGUAUUCAACAUACAUGUGUGAAAUGGAUAAUGGGCCAGGGAAUAUUCGUAGAAGCUGCGGACCCCAACGUUACCACACCGUUUGAGAGACAAAAGAAUGCCAGGUCAGCAAGGGAAAUAACAAAGACCCCCCCCCCCCCCCUCACCCCC